AAUAAAAAAGAAUAUGUUACAAAUCUUCCUACUUUAGCAAGGAUAGUUUUAUUUAUUUAGGAGAAGUAAGACUAUCAUAUCACUAAAGGGGAAUAAGCAACCAAGUUAGGUAGGUUAUAAUGGGAAACAAACAAGAAAAAUUACGUGCCAAAGAAAGGAGGAAAAAGAAAGAUAAAUAAGAACAAGUUGCUCAGAAAUUCUGAUGGGAGUAACCCAAGAAGAGGAACCACCCAGAUCAUUCCAAGAGAGAUACGUCCAUACAAUAUACCAUCCUAGACUUAUAAAGGGAACCCCACACCAAAAUUCACACCCAAACUCACACUAAAAUACUUUACCCAGAACAACUCUUUCUCUCGCCAGAAUCACGCUGGGAAGCAGCGUCCUGCAUCUGGUGGCUCCUUCUUCAAUUUCAAUUCCAUUUAUUUUGCAUGCAAACUAAUUAGGAUACUCUAACCUUGUAGGUACACACUAGGUGGCAAAGAAUUUCAAGAAAAACAAAGGGAAACUUAGAAAAUUUGAGGAGGAAAGAUACAUUAAGGGGACAAGAUAUAAAUCUAAGGAAAGAAUUGUUGAAGGAACUUAGGGGAAAUUAAGCUAAGAAACAAGCAAACCGAGGUAUAAUCAACUUGUGGUGGUGGACUUUUGUAGAGGAACUUCAAUUGACGUUCUUAAACAUCAACGAGGCACGGUUCAAAGGUAUAAUAUCUUAACUCCCUCCUGUAGAUUUAUUAUAGUAUUUUUAGGGUGUUCUUGGGAAUAGGUUUUGUACAAAUUGUUUGUAUUUCCGCAUCGUAAAUCCUAAUAUCAUGUUGUAGUGAUAAAAAAUACAGUAGAUAUGGUUGCAUGCAUGCUUAAUCAACAUAGACAAGGUUUAUUGAUAAGAUGAUUUAGGAAGUAGGUUAUGAUCUUUAUGUAUGUGUAUGUGGUAAUUGAUGAUUGCAAUGAUGAAUGAGGAAUGGAAAACUUAUAUGUAUCUACUGCCUUAAAGUAAUAAUCUUACCUAAUUAGUAAGAGAUUUCUAAAUUAAUUUUGGUUAAUGUACAAUUCUUUGGUGAUACAUGUUACUUUGAUCUUGUGACAAGAACCGUACAUGUACACUUGCUCUUUUACACAACGACUACUUUCGAAUAGUUUGUCAUUAAUAAAUAGGUACUUGUAAUGCCGUGGAAGUAAGUGAAGAACGUAUUCUUCCAUAUUACUAAGGUUUGUAGUAAGAUAAACAUUAUGAUAUUUAGUUGAAAGAGAAUCGAGAAAUUUAUUAAUGAUAGGGGAAGAUACUGCGAUAGUAGUGAUGAACACAUUGUUUUUGUGUGUACGUAAGAGAAUGAUAGGACAUGUCCUGGAUUAAGUCUUGCAAGCAGUACAUAAGUAGUUUUGGGAAGACGUUCUCAUGAGUAUAGAGGAGGCAUAUUAGCCACUCUAUUCGUGCUUCUUUCCCAGUUAAUUGCAGAAGUAAAGCGUUAAGAGAACUAUGUUGAGACUAAGUUUCCUAAGAUCGUGGUUGAAGGUAUAAAGAGCCCCAGGUCGAAUUAUACCUUAAGGUAUUAUCAGAUACAUGUAGUUAAAUAAUGAGUUUUCUUCUUCUUAUAAAAGUACGCGAGUCAAGAACCUUUCCCGUGUAAGGCAAACUUGAGAACUAGAAAAGUCAUGUACCAGUUACGCUGAUUUGGUUGUUAUUGUUGUUCCUAAACUACCCUCCCGGGCAGUGACAGAAUUGCAGGGCUAGGUCAGGAGGUUGUUGUUUGGACUAUGUGAAGCACAUGCCACCGUGUUGCUAAACUUAGAUGCUAUUAUUUUGCCAUGUCCAUAAUAUCUUGAAAUGUAAUGUAAUUAUGGUUAUGUAUUUUGAGUAUGUUUCUAUGUAAAAUUUUUUUACUAAAAAUAUGGUUUGCAAUAGCUAUUAAUAAUUUAUUUAAAACGAAAAGGUGGUAAGAUACUUCCAAGUCUUGAGGGUUCCCUUACAUAGAAGGGAAAUUGCAAGCUUCAUAACGUCACCUAAUUAUCUAUAGCUUAUUUACGUUAUUAAUAGCACUAAUCUAAGCAGCUAAUUAGGUGAGCUGUUACAGGGUUCUUCUCGUUACUAUAUAUAUACACGGGGUUAUCAAUGAGAAUUUUCAUAUACUUCCUGCUUUCUAAAAUAAAUGAAAUACUUACCAUUUUAGGCCAUUUCAGAUUAAAUGACACGUUACUUUAUUUGGUAUUCAUUUCUCUCUCCUCUCUCCUCUCUCCUCAUCACAUGGGCCUAUCUUUUUCUUUAUCUCUAUCUUU